UGCCCAGCAACUUCUAUACCUACCUCCUCGUGGUACUGGCCGGGGUACGAGUAACCUUGGGGAAGAUCGGGUAACCAACCCGCGGUGGGAACUUUGGUCGUAUGCUGACAGGGAAGG
rfam:Aedes aegypti strain Liverpool supercont1.265 genomic scaffold, whole genome shotgun sequence.